rnacentral:rRNA from 1 species
UUGGUCAUUUAGAGGAAGUAAAAGUCGUAACAAGGUCUCCGUAGGUGAACCUGCGGAGGGAUCAUUACACAAUAAACAUAUGAAGGCUGCACCGCCAACASGYGGCAAGGCUGGAGUAUUUUAUUACCCUUGUCUUUUGCGCACUUGUUGUUUCCUGGGCGGGUUCGCCCGCCUCCAGGACCACAUGAUAAACCUUUUUUAUGCAGUUGCAAUCAGCGUCAGUACAACAAAUGUAAAUCAUUUACAACUUUCAACAACGGAUCUCUUGGUUCUGGCAUCGAUGAAGAACGCAGCGAAAUGCGAUACGUAGUGUGAAUUGCAGAAUUCAGUGAAUCAUCGAAUCUUUGAACGCACAUUGCGCCCUUUGGUAUUCCAAAGGGCAUGCCUGUUCGAGCGUCAUUUGUACCCUCAAGCUUUGCUUGGUGUUGGGCGUUUUUUGUCUUUGGUUUUGUCCAAAGACUCGCCUUAAAACGAUUGGCAGCCGGCCUACUGGUUUCGCAGCGCAGCACAUUUUUGCGCUUGCAAUCAGCAAAAGAGGACGGCACUCCAUCAAGACUCUAUAUCACUUUUGACCUCGGAUCAGGUAGGGAUACCCGCUGAACUUAAGCAUAUCAAUAAGCGGAGGA